rnacentral:rRNA from 1 species
UAUUUGAUCCUGGCUCAGAUUGAACGCUGGCGGGAUGUUUACAUGCAAGUCGAACGGCAGCACGGACUUCCCGGUCUGGUGGCGAGUGGCGAACGGGUGAGUAAUGUAUCGGAACGUGCCUAGUAGCGGGGAUAACUACGCGAAAGCGUAGCUAAUACCGCAUACGCCCUUCGGGGGAAAGCGGGGACCUUCGGGCCUCGCACUAUUAGAGCGGCUGAUAUCGGAUUAGCUAGUUGGUGGGGUAACGGCUCACCAAGGCGACGAUCCGUAGCUGGUUUUGAGAGGACGACCAGCCACACUGGGACUGAGACACGGCCCAGACUCCUACGGGAGGCAGCAGUGGGGAAUUUUUGACAAAUGGGGAAACUCCUGAUCCAGCCAUCCGGGCGUGUGCGAUGAAGGCCUUCGGCUAGAAGCACUUCUUUGGCAGGAAGAAACGGCACGGGAGGACACUCUGUGCAACUGACGGUACCUGCAGAAUAAGCACCGGCUAACUACGUGCCAGCAGCCGCGGUAAUACGUAGGGUGCAAGCGUUAAUCGGAAUUACUGGGCGUAAAGCGUGCGCAGGCGGUUCGAAAGAAAGAUGUGAAAUCCCAGAGCUAACUUUGGAACUGCAUUUUUAACCACUGAGCCAGAGUGUGUCAGAGGGAGGUGGAAUUCCGCGUGUAGCAGUGAAAUGCGUAGAUAUGCGGAGGAACACCGAUGGCGAAGGCAGCCUCUGGGAUAACACUGACGCUCAUGCACGAAAGCGUGGGGAGCAAACAGGAUUAGAUACUCCCGGUAGUCCACGCCCUAAACGAUGUCAACUAGCUGUUGGGGCUCUCUGGGCCUUGGUAGCGCAGCUAACGGGUGCAGUGAAGUUGACCGCCUGGGGAGUACGGUCGCAAGAUUAAAAACCCAAAGGAAUUGACGGGGACCCGCACAAGCGGUGGAUGAUGUGGAUUAAUUGAUGCAACGCGAAAACCUACCUACCCUUGACAUGUCUGGAAUCCCGAAGAGAUUUGGGAGUUCUCGCAAGAGAACCGGAACACAGGUGCUGCAGAUGGCCGUCGUCAGCUCGUGUCGAGAUGUUGGGUUAAGUCCCGCAACGAGCGCAACCCCUUGUCAUUAGUUGCUACGAAAGGUACCCCUGACGAGACUGCCGGUGACAAACCGGAGGAAGGUGGGGAUGACGUCAAGUCCUCAUGGCCCUUAUGGGUAGGGCUUCACACGUCAUACAAUGGUCGGGACAGAGGUCGCCAACCCGCGAGGGGAGCCAAUCCCAGAAACCAUCGUAGUCCGGAUCGCAGUCUGCAACUCGACUGCGUGAAGUCGGAAUCGCUAGUAAUCGCGGAUCAGCAUGUCGCGGUGAAUACGUUCCUGUCUUGUACACACCGCCCGUCACACCAUGGGAGUGGGUUUUACCAGAAGUAGUUAGCCUAACCGUAAGGAGGGUGGCGAUUACCACGGUAGGAUUCAUGACUGGGGUGAAGUCGUAACAAGGUAA